rnacentral:tRNA from 1 species
GCGAAAUAGCUUAAUUGGGAGAGCGUUAGAGUAUUGAUCGAAAGGUCCCUGGUUCGAUCCUGGGAUUCGGCA